GAGAGAACACAGCUCUUUUACAAUUUUUCUAGCAGGGUUUUCUAACUCUGUUUGGAAAAACCCAC